rnacentral:ncRNA from 1 species
CUGACGGGCGCGUUCGGGUCAAUUGCGGCAUGCAACACCCGAUCUCCCUCCUCGCUCCCGACCGGGAGUUCGAGGUCGGAGAGCGCGUUACCGUCAG